rnacentral:rRNA from 1 species
GACGAACGCUGGCGGCGUGCUUAACACAUGCAAGUCGAACGGUGAAGCGCCUUCCUUUUUGGUGGGUGUGGAUGAGUGGCGAACGGGUGAGUAACACGUGAGUAACCUGCCCCCUUCUUCUGGAUAACCGCAUGAAAGUGUGGCUAAUACGGGAUAUUCUGGGUCUGUCGCAUGAUGGGUCUGGGAAAGAUAUUGUUUCGGUUGUGGAUGGGCUCGCGGCCUAUCAGCUUGUUGGUGGGGUGAUGGCCUACCAAGGCGGUGACGGGUAGCCGGCCUGAGAGGGUGGACGGUCACACUGGGACUGAGACACGGCCCAGACUCCGACGGGAGGCAGCAGGGGGGAAUAUUGCACAAUGGGCGCAAGCCUGAUGCAGCGACGCCGCGUGAGGGAUGGAGGCCUGCGGGUUGUGAACCUCUUUCGCCAGUGAAGCAGGCCUGCCUCGUUUGUGGGUGGGUUGACGGUAGCUGGAUAAGAAGCGCCGGCUAACUACGUG